UCAUGGUGCAUUGUAAUUGCAUUGCAUUUUUAUUUUAAAUGGUGCAAUGUAUUUGCAGUGCAAACAGG
rnacentral:pre_miRNA from 1 species